rnacentral:rRNA from 1 species
GGGGAAUAUUGGACAAUGGGCGAAAGCCUGAUCCAGCAAUGCCGCGUGUGUGAAGAAGGCCUGCGGGUUGUAAAGCACUUUAAGCAGGGAAGAAAGGCGGGAGGUUAAUACCCUUUUGCACUGACGUUACCUGCAGAAUAAGCACCGGCUAACUCCGUGCCAGCAGCCGCGGUAAUACGGAGGGUGCGAGCGUUAAUCGGAAUUACUGGGCGUAAAGCGCGCGUAGGCGGUUUGUUAAGUCAGCUGUGAAAGCCCCGGGCUUAACCUGGGAAUGGCAGUUGAUACUGGCGAGCUUGAGUGUGGUAGAGGGGUGUGGAAUUUCCGGUGUAGCAGUGAAAUGCGUAGAGAUCGGAAGGAACACCAGUGGCGAAGGCGGCACCCUGGACCAACACUGACGCUGAGGUGCGAAAGCGUGGGGAGCAAAC